GCGUCGGUUGCCAUGAGCACCGCCAAACAACCGCGCGUCGCACAACGCCUUGCGUCACCGUCCCGGCGGCCAAUGAGGGGAGAGGGCGGAGCGCAGGGGCGCGAAUUGCCAGCGGCGGCUCGGUUGCUCUUUUCCCUAGGUGCCCGUGCGCGGCCCCAGCCCUGGGAGCGCGGCGGGGCGGCGGGUCCAGUAGAGGCAAUCCUGGGGGGGCGCAAGGUCCCGGGCCGGGCCGCGGGGAUACUCAGCUCUUCCCGUCCCGGUCUCUCCAGAGCUCCUCCCCGUGCCUCAGUCCCCAGGUCCCUAGUUUGUCCCAGCCUGGUCCAGCCCUGUCACCUGUAUCUCCCCAGGACCCGCCCCGCCCCGCGGGUGUCCUGCCCCUCACCUUCAUUGACCCAUCAACAAAGCUGGGCAAAACUCUGCUAAGGAUGGAAAGCAAGUCAUGCCAUACCACCGCAAGGUGAACACAGCAUAGACAGACGUGCCUCAAUAAAACCAGGAGUCCAUCACAGCUGAUGACCUGUGGAAACUACCAAUUAGCCCGGGACUACUUUGAAUCAGAAGUCUCUGGUAAAAGUGAUGAUAGUGGAUGCUUUGACCAGUAUUCAUUUUAAUCCUCCAAGAAUGUAAUGUAAUAGCCAUAAUCCCUGUUACUGGUGGUUCUCUGAUUCUGUGGCCAUAGGAAUGGACAAGGAAUUCUGUACGUUUCUCUCCCUAAUCACAAAGUCUGCAGGCCAGAGAAUCUGUCACAAUGUAUCAUAAAGUCCCCUUCCCAAUGCUUGUGGGAGGGGAAGGCAUGAACAUGUGCUAAUACUGGGAACUCCCCCUCUUUUGAGGGGGAGAAGGAAUGUACAGCCUCCAAGACUCUGGCAGCUUCAACCUACAAGGAAACACUAUACCUACAUGCCCAUCCACCCCCUCCUAUUUCUUGCUAGCUUCCAAGUGAAUAGUGUGUCUGCUUUGCUUCCAAGAAGUCUGGUGAUUAGUAGGCAAACACAAGGCAAUGGCAAAUCUUUAGAAAUCCUUAUCUAAGAUUGGAAGAAAGAGAGGGUACGCAACAAAAACACAGAAGUAGGUGGGUGACAAUUUCAGUACAUUCAUUUGUUUCCAAAAUGAUUACAUGCAGUUCCCUGCUGCAGAAUCAAACAUUAUUUGCCAAAGAGCUCAAGGUUACACUGUAUUUCUGAUGUCCAGCAUAUUUAUGAACUUCUUUGGGAAUCUGACAUACAUUUAAAGGUGCACAGAGCUGAUUUUUGGAGAUGUUAAAUCAACAACUUGCUUUAUAUUCAUGUCCUUAAAGUAAUCAAGUUGCAUGUUUUUUAUCCUAUUGGGAAUUUAACCCAUGGUCUCUGUUUUCAUUCUUACUAGUGUUAUUUUAUUCAGGCAAAGAAUUUAAGUUAUGGGAAGAAGAUACUUUUCCUCUAGCAUCUUGUGACCAAAGACAGUUGCUUAUGGUUUGAGGCCUGAGCACUCUUUUUUUAUAAUCAAAGGCCAAAGUAUUAUUUUAUUCUUCUUUCUCAGGUCUCCUGCAGUUAUUUACUUCUAAAAGUGAAUUUUCUUGAAUCAGUGCUUCUUAUCUAUUGCUCUUUUCCUGCAUUUUUAUUAUUUUCUCAGUUCUCUCUUCCAUUGAUUUUCUGAGGCUCCUCCCAACAUUUUCCCUAAUUCUUGCAUCUCCUUUUCUCCAUCCUCUUCCUUAUAAUUACUCCCUGCUGUCUUGUUUGUUUUCUUCCUUUUGCCUGUUGCCUUUCACUUAAUCUUUCUCAUCUUGUCCUGCAUCUUCCUUUUCACCUACACAUUGUUUCGGUUUCUCUCCUCUUCUAUUACUCUUCUCUUCUAUUACUCUUCCUUCUUCUCAUCAGCGUUAUCCAUCUUCUUCAUUUCCAUCUCUAUUUCUUGGUAUGGCAACUGAACAUUCUUCUUAUGUAAGUGAUGCUUCACUUUAAUCAUGGAAAAAUGUGGAUGGGGGGGGAGGGUUUAACCAAAAAUUGGGAUUUUUUUAAAUCAGAGAAAACCAGGAUCCCUGGUUAUGAUGAUGGAGCUAUCCCAGUAACCACCAUUAUGUAAACACCUUACAAAGCUCUUUGAUUAGAUCUUCAUCCCUGUAAAAUUCACUUAAUGGACUUUAAGCACUGCAAAUAAUUAUGCAAACAGUAAGUAUAGUUGUGAAGUUGAGCACUGAGGGGUGUUUAGUCAGUAAUGCUGAAGAAAGCUUUGCACAGCUGAUGAGUUUUCAGAAGCUUCUAAUGAAUGGCUAAUAGGGUUAACUGAGAUAAAACCUUGAGGCCUCGUGUGUUACAGUCACCUCUAAUGUCAGAGAGAAGCCAUAUGUGGAAAUGAUUUCUUUAUACAUUGGGACAGUAGAAUAACUGAGGUGGGGGCAACCUGGGCAGCAGCCCCAGGGGAUGCCUUUGUUGGGACAGAGCACAAAAAUAGCCACCACCACAGCAGUGGCUGAUCACAUCACUGUGAUUGGCAUGACAGGACAUGCACUGCCUCAUGUGUCUGAGCUACCCACUUAUACCUCUGGUUUGGGAGGAUUGGAGUGAAUCUGUUUUGAUGGCAGUCCCACAAGGUCACCUUAACCCACUCCAUUAGGAGGAAAAGAUAUGGUUCACUAGCACCUCAAGUGGGCCAACCCUAUUCAUUUUAAUUACUAUUAUUUCUUGUGCACCAACCUUACCUCCGGUGCUGUUUAGAUAAAGAUAUCACCUUUGACUUGAGAAUUUUCUCAUAUAACUCAAAUAAGUAAAACUUGUAACCUCUUGCUUAACAAAUAAUAAGUGUUAAAUACUUCCAUAUAUGUGAAAAUGACAAGGAAAUUAAAAAGUCCACCAAUAGCUACCUAGACUCCCUCCUACAUACCAGAACUUUAUGCAAUUGUGUAGUUCAAGACUGAACUUUAUAUCAUGAUUUCAUGUUAAGGAUAACUUUACUCUUUUUUGUACCUCUGAAAGAAAAAAUAGAAAAAUCUUCAUGCUUUCUGUUCUUAGGCUGUUUCACUGCAGCUGCCUGUGUAAACAAUUUGAAUUAAUAUGUGUAAAUAUUUACUGAGGUUAAAAGAUGUUAAAAUGGUUCAUUUUUUAAUGAUCACAACACUUCUAGUAUUUUAGUAUCCAUUUCAGUCUGCCCAGUGAAAUCAUGUUAUAUUAUGAAAUGUAAAUAUACCUAGAUUUUGGCAUUGACUCAGUUUGCAAGGGAAGCAACUGUAAAAUGUUUAUGAAAUUGCCAUGAUCUCUAAACUGUACAAGAUGCUUUUUGUUAUGAAGCUUGCAAAUUAAAACAACAACAAAAUCUA